CCUCAGGUUACCGCCGGCAGGGGGCAUUCAGAGCGGGAUUAUUUUUCACCCGUUGACACCAUCUGUCAGCAUGUUGGUUUCUCAGUCAUUUGGACACCGUCGGAGGACUUGUCGGAACGGAAACGCAGCAAUUUGGUCAUGUCGCUAUACCGGAUGCAGCCACUCGGGGUUCACGUGUCUCCUUUGCAUGAGACUUUGAAGAUGAGAGGAACACGAUCUAAUAAAAAGAUGAUGAGGGAGGAAAGGGGAAGCAAGGUGGAGAUUAGAAGGAGAGGAUACGGCAGGAGGAAAAUGAUAAAGCGGAGGCCAGACCCGUUAAUCCCAAUUCUUACUUAUGAGAUUCACACACAAACACACACGCUGAUUGGAACCGUAAUGGAGGUCCAGAAAAAAAUCUAAAAAGAAGACAUACUACGUGUUGUUGUUGUUGUUUUUUUUUUUUUUUUUUUUUCCACAAUUUAGAAACCCACCCAAGUCUUUUAGUUUAUAUGUCACCAAGCAGUAAAGCAAAUGCUUCUCCCAAACUCUGUAUAAAAAUGUAACUUCCUGUGCAAAAAAAAAAAAAAAUUGACAAAUAUCACUGGAGUUUACUGAAUCCGUUGUUGAACUGUUCUUUGUGUAUGGAAUGCUGGUCCCAGGCGGCUGAGGGA